GUACGUGGUACGCGUCCGAGCACGCUCGCUUAGGUCACCAUCAGCUGAGGACGCGUCGCGUUAGCGUCGACCGCGCCCCGUACGCGUGGGCGCCGCGUGUAGUCUAGCUUGACGUCACGUCUGGCGCGCCGUCUGCUACGUAGCGCGGCUACGUCACGAGCUGCCAGCUGCGAAGACGUGGCGGGAAUCCGGAACGGCGCCGGCGAGAGUCCGUCUCUCGCCCUUCACCUCGAAGUCGUAACAGUGGAUGGCGAACUAGUAUCUCAACAGCAGACGGCAGACUGCGAAAUACGAGGCCCGAAGACGCCUGCUAUACCUCUCGACGGCCGCUACGAGACCGACCGGCGUCAACCACUUUGGCUGGCGACAGCAUCCGGCAAGCUGGGGAGAGACCUCGGGGCGAGCCGGCUGGAGCGGAUGACGUCGGACGCAGUCAUGCCCCGUCAGAAGGACAGGCAUCUAGCGACGCGACCAUGCGCAUAGCUCGGCUUUGCCGCCCGGAGCGACAUCGUUGCGGAUAGAUGGCAGCGUACUUGUGAGUACGAGCACAGCGCGCCGCCAUGACGUUAUCGCAGUUUCACUUUAUGCAGAACAUCACGGCGACUCCGACGGUGGUCCACGGCGCCGGAAUUAAAGGUGCGUCCACGUUGGCAGCACGGCUGCUCUCCGCAUGCCGUUUGCGGUUCGUGGAUCAGGCGAUAUCCCCCUGUGGCACAGCGACGCGGCCAUUCAGCGACGGAGGAGUAGUGCGGCUAACGAAUGGCGUCGCCGGCAGCCUCGCUACCGCUGAUCGCUCGCCGCCGAAACCGUGGCUAUAGGCCUUUUCGGUUCGCUUCGAACCUGUAGCUGACGGUGCUUCAGAGAGAACCGCCGACGCUCCCAAAGCCGCAAUGUUUAGUUACCGGUGUUGUUGCUUUACCUUUCUCCUCGCAAUAAUUUCACAUGAACAAGAAAACAUGCUGAUAUUUAUUUAUGAGGAAUGCGCGCCCUAUAGUGGGGGAACUCCGGAUUAAUUCUGGCCGCCAGGGGAUCGUUAACGUGCGGCCAACGCACGGGACACGGGCGUUUCUGCAUUUGUGCCUACUCUUGGCGCUCCUGAUGAAAAUGGCGGCUGCAUAUAUUCCUGUGCUAGAAAUAUGUUCUCGGUCAUUCCUAUUUUGUCUUUCAAUAAAUGGUGAU